ensembl:snRNA U6 U6 spliceosomal RNA
GUGCUCGCUUCGGCAGUACAUAUACUAAAAUUGGAACGAUACAGAGAAGAUUAGCAUGGCCCCUGCGCAAAGAUCACAUACUCAGUUUAGCCAGGGAAACCUCUUUG